UCCGGCUUAUCACCGGCAGUUCUCCUAGAGUUCCCGACAUUACUCGCUGGCAACUAAGAGUGAGGGUUGCGCUCGUUGCAGGACUUAACCCAACAUCUCACGACACGAGCUGACGACGGCCAUGCAACACCUGUGUGUGGUCCAGCCGAACUGAAAGGAUCAUCUCUGAUCCCGUUAACCACCAUGUCAAAGGUUGGUAAGGUUUUUCGUGUGACAUCGAAUUAAACCGCAUGCUCCACUGCUUGUGCGGGUCCCCGUCAAUUCCUUUGAGUUUUAAUCUUGCGAUCUUACUCCCCAGGCGGAGUGCUUAAUGCGUUAGCUGCGGCACCGAAAUAAAUCCCGAUACCUAGCACACAUCGUUUACAGCGUGGACUAC
rnacentral:misc_RNA from 1 species